GACGAACGCUGGCGGCGUGCCUAAUACAUGCAAGUAGAACGCACAGUUUAUACCGUAGCUUGCUACACCAUAGACUGUGAGUUGCGAACGGGUGAGUAACGCGUAGGUAACCUGCCUGGUAGCGGGGGAUAACUAUUGGAAACGAUAGCUAAUACCGCAUAAUAUUAAUUAUUGCAUGAUAAUUAAUUGAAAGGUGCAAUUGCACCACUACCAGAUGGACCUGCGUUGUAUUAGCUAGUAGGUGAGGUAACGGCUCACCUAGGCGACGAUACAUAGCCGACCUGAGAUGGCGAGCGGCCACACUGAGACGGAGACACGGCCCAGACUCCUACGGGAGGCAGCAGUAGUGAAUCUUCGGCAAUGGACGAAAGUCUGACCGAGCAACGCCGCGUGAGUGAAGAAGGUUUUCGGAUCGUAAAGCUCUGUUGUAAGAGAAGAACGGGUGUGAGAGUGGAAAGUUCACACUGUGACGGUAUCUGACCAGAAAGGGACGGCUAACUACGUG
rnacentral:rRNA from 1 species